GGGGGGUGAGGGACGGGCCUCCCGUGCAGACCUCAAGGCCCAGUGGACACAGCCUCUGCUGGGCUUGAGCCAGAGUGCUGGUGCUUCCUCUCUGCAUGGGGGUCAGCUCCUGGUGGCCUCCUGCUGGAUUUUGUGGAUGUUCGAUGCAGAUUAUUUCUCUAAAGGGUGCCUGCUCCCCAGAUUCCCUUCUUUGCAGAGCACAGAGUCCCACUGGGAGGCCUCUGUGGCCUCUGGCCAAGGAGUUCCCCAAGCCUCCUUUUUCCCCAUCUGUAAAAUGGGGACUGGUCUGUGUCUCCCACGACUGUUGAAAGGAAGACUGCAGUGGUGCAAGUGAAGCCCUUGGUGAGGAGAAGUGAGUUGGUGAAGGGCUAGAAUCUGCAGUCGAACGGAAGCCGGCUCCUUGCACUGGGUCACUCACCCUUGGAAGUCGCCCCUUCUCUGAGCCUCCAUUUCUUGCUACAUAAAACGAGGGUCCCGCAAUACUCUCUCUAGUGGCUUCUGUUUUGUGCCAUGCUGCUAUUCAUAGAUGGCAGUGCUUUUUUUUGUUUGUUUGUUUUCCAUGAUGGAGUCUCGCUCUGUCACCCAAGCUGGAGUGCAGUGGCUCAAUCUCUGCUCACUGCAAACUCCACCUCCCAAGUUCAAGCGAUUCUCCUGCCUCAGACCCCCGAGGAACUGGAACCACAGGUGUGGGCCACCAACCCAGCUAAUUUUUGUAUUUUUAGUAGAGACGGGAUUUCACCAUGUUGGCCAGGCUGGUCUUGAACUUCUGACCUCAGGUGAUCCACCCACCUUGGCUUCCCAAAGUGCUGGGAUUAUAAGCAUGAGCCAGCUCAUGCCAGGGUGGGCGAGCUGGCUUGAGGUGAGCCGAGAUCACACCACCGCACUCCAGCCUGGGCGACAGAGCGAGACUCCGUCUCAAAAAGAAAAAAAAAUCCAC
rnacentral:lncRNA from 1 species